GACGAACGCUGGCGGCGUGCCUAAUACAUGCAAGUCGAACGCUUCUUUCCUCCCAAGUGCUUGCACUCAAUUGGAAAGAGGAGUGGCGGACGGGUGAGUAACACGUGGGUAACCUACCCAUCAGAGGGGGAUAACACUUGGAAACAGGUGCUAAUACCGCAUAACAGUUUAUGCCGCAUGGCAUAAGAGUGAAAGGCGCUUUCGGGUGUCGUUGAUGGAUGGACCCGCGGUGCAUUAGCUAGUUGGUGAGGUAACGGCUCACCAAGGCCACGAUGCAUAGCCGACCUGAGAGGGUGAUCGGCCACACUGGGACUGAGACACGGCCCAGACUCCUACGGGAGGCAGCAGUAGGGAAUCUUCGGCAAUGGACGAAAGUCUGACCGAGCAACGCCGCGUGAGUGAAGAAGGUUUUCGGAUCGUAAAACUCUGUUGUUAGAGAAGAACAAGGACGUUAGUAACUGAACGUCCCCUGACGGUAUCUAACCAGAAAGCCACGGCUAACUACGUG
rnacentral:rRNA from 1 species